AAAGUUGCGAUGAAGAGGAAUAGUAUAUAGGUAAGUCAUUUUAGAGAGAGAGUGGCUGGUGAAAACUCUUAUGAAGCCGAAUAGAACCUACCUUGGAGCACUGUACGCUAUAAAUAUAGCAUACGUUAUGAUAAUAACAUAUCGUAUAAAAUACAGCGUAAAUCGGCGUUAACGAUAGGAGUGAAUUGCGCAAGCAAUUAAUUUGGGUGGUACCACCGAAGUUUCGGUCCCUUGU
rnacentral:ncRNA from 1 species